CCGUGUUCAGUGUAAUUAUUUCACGUACUCUUGUGCAAUAGUAUAGUAUCGUAUUAUAUAUAGUAUUAUAAUCAUGCGUGUUAUUUUGCGGAUUGCAUUGGUCUUGACCUCUGUUGUGACUGUUUCUGGACAAAGGAGCGUGUGGCCUUGGUCAAAAGAUAGAGGGAUGCGAAAUCCAAGAUGCAUCAGUUGCUCAGAGGUAAAAGAGGCUCAUCUGUGUGAAUCGUGCUGUAAAAUGAAUGGGUGUUUGCCUAAUCCCUGUAAAAAUAAUGGUACUUGUUCACCAGUUGGUAACGGUUACAGCUGUAAUUGUGUUACAGGGUAUUUUGGAAAAAACUGUGACGAUUCUGAAGGAACAAUACCAGUUAAAGAGGCGAUACUCUGUAACGUGACAGAGUGUGAAGCUAGAGGCGGAAAUUGUUUCCAAUUAAAAUGUACCACCAAUGUUACCAAUUGUGGUGGUAAAGCCUGUAAUACAACUGUUGGCGCGCACUGUAUUGAUGAUACUUGUGUAUCCUUCAGUAAGUUCAAUGAAGUGUGUAAUGCAGAGGAAAAUGGCGUUACUAUCUCCUGUGGCGAUACAGGUCAACCAUGUGGGGAAGAUAACUUCUGUAAUACUCAUAGUAUAUGUAUGAAUGAUACGUGCAGAUUUAUCUGUGGUUUGGGAGAUGUUUGCGCCAUCGCGGGUUCUGCUGGCACUUGUUCAGACUUUGCUUGUUUCGUACCAUGUGUCGAAGACAGGACGUGUGGUGGUUACCCAUGUGUUGGUGGUUAUUGUGCAAAUGUCUAUUGUGGAGAGUCAUUCUGUUUCGUGUCAGCCUAGGUUAAAGCAAUAUAUACACCAGUACCAGUUUAAAGCACCUAGUUACAAACAACUACAAUAUGGUAUUCUUUACUCCUUUAAAAUAAACAGAUACACCAGCAAGAUAUUAAAAUAUAACCUAGAUCGCAAAAUAAACAUACCUUAUGUG